AAUAUGACUCUCGGCAACGGAUAUCUCGGCUCUCGCAUCGAUGAAGAACGUAGCAAAAUGCGAUACCUGGUGUGAAUUGCAGAAUCCCGUGAACCAUCGAGUUUUUGAACGCAAGUUGCGCCCGAGGCCUUCUGGUCGAGGGCACGUCUGCCUGGGCGUCACGC
rnacentral:rRNA from 1 species